AUGGAGGACAAGAUGGCGGCCAGCUCCGGGUGUUGUCCCUUCGUCACCCAGUGUCAUCAUUUGUCACCCGGUGUCACCUGGACAUUGUCACCCAGACACCACCAGCGGUGCAUGAACAAAGGACUCAACAACAGCGUGUCCCCUUCCCAUGUUGAGAUAAUGGAGGACAAGAUGGCGGUCACCUCGGGGUGUUGUCCCUUUGUCACUCGGUGUCACAAACACCCCAAGGUGGCCAUGAAUGGAAGAAGUCACGGUGGCCAACCAACGACGCAAGGUGGCCACCAAUGGAACACAUCACGGUGGCCAACGAACACCUCAAGGUGGCCACCAAUGGAAGAUGCCAUCAUGGCCAACCAACGACCCCAAGGUGCCACCAAUGGAAGAGGUCAUGGUGGCCAACGAACACCUCAAGGUGGCCACCAAUGGAAGAGGUCAUGGUGGCCAACCAACAACCCAAGGUGGCCAUGAAUGGAACACAUGGUGGCCAUCCAACAACCCAAGUUGGCCACCAAAGGAAGACGCCAUCAUGGCCAACCAACGACCCCAUGGUGCCACCAAUGGAAGAGCUCAUGGUGGCCAACGAACACCUCAAGGUGGCCACUAAUGGAAAAUGCCAUCAUGGCCAACCAACGACCCCAAGGUUGCCAUGAAUGGAACACAUCAUGGUGGCCAACCAACGACCCAAGGUGGCCACCAAUGGAAGACGUCAUCAUGGCCAACCAACGACCCCAUGGUGACACCAAUGGAAGACGCCAUCACGGCCAACCAACGACCCCAUGGCGCCACCAAUGAAAGACGCCAUCAUGGCCAACUGACAACCCCAAGGUUGCCAUGAAACGAAUGUAUCAUGGUGGCCAACCAACAACCCCAUGGUGGCCAUGAACGGAACACAUCAUGGUGGCCAACCAACGACCCAAGGUGGCCACCAAUGGAAGAGGUCAUGUUGGCCAACCAACAACUCACGGUGACCACGUAUGGAAGCCAUCACGUUGGCCAACCCACCACCCCCAACCCGACCACCACCCCGGUAGCCAACCAACACCCCAAAGUGGCCAUAAAUGGAACACAUUGUGGUGGCCAACCAAUGGAAGACGUCAUCAUGGCCAACCAACGACCCCAAAGUGGCCAUGAAUGGA
rnacentral:lncRNA from 1 species